rnacentral:lncRNA from 1 species
CUGCUGUGGCCUGGGAAAGCAGGGGAAGAUGACCAAGUGCUUGGGCCCCUGCACCCACGUGGGAGACCUGAAGGAAGCUCCUGGCUCGAGAUCCGGCAGUUGUGGCCAAUUGGGAAGUGAAGCAGCGGGUGGAGACCUCUCUCUCUGUCUCUCACUGUCUAACUCUGCCUGGCAAAAAAAAAAAAAAAAAAAAAAAAAAACGACGCCGCCGCCGGGCUGUGCUGAGGCUGUCGUGUCCAGAACGGCCCGAGCCUCGCUCCGCGUCCCGCCCAGGGUUCCCGCUGCCUCUCUCCGUGUCCCGCCUGGGGUCCCCACUGCCUCUCCUCUCCCUCUCCGUGACCUGCCCGGGGACCACUCGGUGAGGUUGCCUGGCGGGCUGUCUCCUACGGCGGCCUUGGGCAUCCCCCAAGCACUGCCAAGCUGCUUAGACUGUUGCUCAGAACAGGGGCCUGGGGAAGCCCUGCCUGCAGCGCCCCCAGCCCAGACGGGCGCUCGGCUCCAGCUCCCGCUGGUGUGCCUGGGAGAGCAAGGUGGGGGCUGGCGCUGUGCAGUGGGCUGAGCCUCCGUGUGGUGCUGGUUCGAGUCCCGGAGGCUCCAGCUCUCUGCCGUCCCAGGAAAGCAGCAGCAGAUGGCCCGAGUGCUGGAGCCCCUGCACCCACCGGACCUGAUGAAGCUCCCGGCUCCCGGCUUCAGGUCGGGCUGGAUGGCCACUGGGAGCCAACCAGCUCCAUCCCUGUAUCUCUGCCUUUCAAAUAAACGGGAGAGAGAGUGUACUAGACAGAGUCUGGAGCUGAGAAGUACAAAGGGACACGAUUACUGGCAGGUUGAAAAGAGCCAGCGAAAGGAAGUUAGGUCAGCCCAGGUCGUCCGGUCCGAGGAAGGGACGUGGAGGGGAGGAGGAACAGCGCCCGCGAGCUGCAGGACACAGGACGUGCAGAGGGGGGAGGGGGAGGGGAGGAGACUAUUUAAAGAAACAAUGCCAAGGUUUAUGAACAUUCACCUACGUGCCCGGACGCAUCACACGUUGUUGGAGAGAAGCGACCACCACACACAGCAGCACCUGGGAGACGGGGAUGGUGUCCCGACUCCAGGCUCCAGCACGGCCCAGGGACGCUGGUGCCACCAUCUGGAGAGUAAAUCAGUGGACACAGAUCCUCUCUCCGCCUUUCAAACACACAGCAUUUCACAAAGCAGGUCUCUGCGUCGGCCUCUCCCUGCCGUCCCCUGUGCUCCAGUGCCGGCUGGGCUGUGA